GAUGAACGCUGGCGGCGUGCCUAGUACAUGCAAGUCGAGCGAACAGACGAGGAGCUUGCUCCUUUGACGUUAGCGGCGGAUGGGUGAGUAACACGUGGAUAACCUACCUAUAAGACUGGGAUAACUUCGGGAAACCGGAGCUAAUACCGGAUAACAUGUUGAACCGCAUGGUUCAACAGUGAAAGACGGUCUUGCUGUCACUUAUAGAUGGAUCCGCGCCGCAUUAGCUAGUUGGUAAGGUAACGGCUUACCAAGGCAACGAUGCGUAGCCGACCUGAGAGGGUGAUCGGCCACACUGGAACUGAGACACGGUCCAGACUCCUACGGGAGGCAGCAGUAGGGAAUCUUCCGCAAUGGGCGAAAGCCUGACGGGGCAACGCCGCGUGAGUGAAGAAGGUCUUCGGAUCGUAAAACUCUGUUAUUAGGGAAGAACAAAUGUGUAAGUAACUAUGCACGUCUUGACGGUACCUAAUCAGAAAGCCACGGCUAACUACGUGCCAGCAGCCGCGGUAAUACGUAGGUGGCAAGCGUUAUCCGGAAUUAUUGGGCGUAAAGCGCGCGUAGGCGGUUUUUUAAGUCUGAUGUGAAAGCCCACGGCUCAACCGUGGAGGGUCAUUGGAAACUGGAAAACUUGAGUGCAGAAGAGGAAAGUGGAAUUCCAUGUGUAGCGGUGAAAUGCGCAGAGAUAUGGAGGAACACCAGUGGCGAAGGCGACUUUCUGGUCUGUAACUGACGCUGAUGUGCGAAAGCGUGGGGAUCAAACAGGAUUAGAUACCCUGGUAGUCCACGCCGUAAACGAUGAGUGCUAAGUGUUAGGGGGUUUCCGCCCCUUAGUGCUGCAGCUAACGCAUUAAGCACUCCGCCUGGGGAGUACGACCGCAAGGUUGAAACUCAAAGGAAUUGACGGGGACCCGCACAAGCGGUGGAGCAUGUGGUUUAAUUCGAAGCAACGCGAAGAACCUUACCAAAUCUUGACAUCCUCUGACCCCUCUAGAGAUAGAGUUUUCCCCUUCGGGGGACAGAGUGACUGGUGGUGCAUGGUUGUCGUCAGCUCGUGUCGUGAGAUGUUGGGUUAAGUCCCGCAACGAGCGCAACCCUUAAGCUUAGUUGCCAUCAUUAAGUUGGGCACUCUAAGUUGACUGCCGGUGACAAACCGGAGGAAGGUGGGGAUGACGUCAAAUCAUCAUGCCCCUUAUGAUUUGGGCUACACACGUGCUACAAUGGACAAUACAAAGGGUAGCGAAACCGCGAGGUCAAGCAAAUCCCAUAAAGUUGUUCUCAGUUCGGAUUGUAGUCUGCAACUCGACUACAUGAAGCUGGAAUCGCUAGUAAUCGUAGAUCAGCAUGUUACGGUGAAUACGUUCCCGGGUCUUGUACACACCGCCCGUCACACCACGAGAGUUUGUAACACCCGAAGCCGGUGGAGUAACCUCUUGGAGCUAGCCGUCGAAGGUGGGACAAAUGAUUGGGGUGAAGUCGUAACAAGGUAGCCGUAUCGGAAGG
rnacentral:rRNA from 1 species